rnacentral:lncRNA from 1 species
ACUAGUACUGUACUGUACGUUAUGGGGCCGCUGAUACUCCGUCUAUAAUUCAUCGGUGUUCGAAUGCCAAUCACCAUUCACGCACAAAUCACUUAAUAGAAGACCGAGCUUCGUUCGUUCGCAGAUGUUGACAGCGACCGCAAAUCGUAUAAAGAGUCAUAAUGCGAAAGCAAAUUUUGACAACUAAUUCUUCGCAUCGCAGUUUUUUUUUUCGAGGUGAAACGCAGUGAAACGAAGAUAGAAAAGCUACUUCUCCGCCGAUUUCGAUAAUUUGUGAAUUCUGUUUAUAUAUGAUGACACAAGACAUAUGGAACCCCUUUCGGAAACUGACUGUAUACCUAAAAACAAUGAAAACAGUUCAUAUAAAUAUAAGGAAUUUUCUGUUGUGAUUUCGUGUUAUCUGAUCACAUUUACAGAAGAUGCUCAAAAUGGCCAACUUAUAUUUCGAGAUUCGAAUGUCAUAAAAUUAAAACAGCAAGGAUAGGGACGUCAAGUCGAUGUAACUUUCGACCAUCGCCACCUUCAACGACGUUCUUGUAACCGACGAUUGACUGUAGGAGAUUGAAUGGAAACGGUGCCUAUAGCCACUCACUGAUCACUAAUCACUAGUAUUUUAAAUUCACAAACCGUAUAUUACUAUGGAAUCACUUCGACAAUUAACCGAAUGCACAGAACUUGUGGAAAAAAGAGAGAAUUACUAUUUAGUUAGUAUUAUUAUUUAAUAGAAUAAAGUAUUAUUCCAUUAAAAUCUAUGAAAUUCUGUUUACGAUCAGUAUGCACAAAUCUGUGUUAUAUUAAUCUGCGCUAUAAUUUAUCCUUGUUGUUGAUAUCACUAGUGAACAAUUUGAUUUAACUAAAGUCAUGACGAAUUAUUUAAUCAAACAUAACGAAUACUGGGUAAUAGGAUGGGAAGGUAAUAUGAAGGAAGAUGGCUACAGAUAACAAGGACAACUUGAGACGAGGCGACGCGCGACGAAAGAAAGACAUAAUCCGGAUUACGCUUUCGUUUCGAGGAUGGUAGAUUCUUAAUUAUCGGAUUUGAAAGUAUAUGAGUAUGUAUGUAUAUAUGCUAGUUGAGUCUGAUGGAACUGGGACUCAAUUAAAAAUUACAUGGUCCUGGAUUAGAAUUUCAAUAAAGUUUCAAAUUACUGUUCAGCCACCCAGAUACAGAAACGAUUAUAUGUACUUACUAUGUAUACGUAUAUAUAUAGCAAAUAUCGUAAAGAAGAAAGAAAAGUAACAUGACCGAAAGAAAAGUCAAUUUUUCAAGAAAUUGAUCUCAAGUAGAAAAUGUAUCAAUUAAAUUAAUCAACCAUUUAACAGUGAAAAAUCUAUUUUCCUUUACGAUUUAGCUGAAAAGUUUUGAAUUUCGGGGGUCUAAUAAAAUAUCGUUUACGUGCAUUGUUUAAUAUUAAGGAAAUGAUUAAAAUAUAUAUUACUCUCUAUGUAUUAUAUAAUCGUAAUUUUAUAUAAUCGUAUUUUUACCCAUCAUUCGUAAGACUCGCGUAAGGACUUAAUGGCUAAUAUGUACAUUAAUUUUCUCCGGUUAAAAGUACUCGAAACUUUCAGACUACAAAUUCAGAUAUAUUCCCUAGUCUGCCAUAACAAGAAAACUAACAACGAAUCAACCAUUUUUCCAACCAUUCCAUUUGUUUUAAGCGAUGUUUAACGUGGUUAUUGAAAGAAUUAAUGGUUUGCAUAGUUAAUGUGAUUAAGAACGAGUCGUAAAUUAUCAAAACGAUCAAACAGUAUUGUAUAACAAAUUAUUCCUGAUUUUACACAUGUGCGCAGAUUGUACAAAGUAAAUAUCCGUGAUUUCAUUAGUCAUGAUAAAGAGAAAAAGCAGAAUUUUUACGCUUUUAGAUUUUUUCAUCUUUUUCAAUUUUCAAGAACAAUGAACAUAUAUGUGUAUACGUGUAUGCACAGUAAAGAGCACAACUGAAACAUUGUUAAGAAAUUUUGUAUGAAUCGUUAUUUAUCGUUUACUUUUUAUAAACACUUACAUAGAACUGUCCAACUUGGAUAAAAGGAUAAUUGAUUUCUCUCCUAAAAUAAUAAAUAUAUUAUUAAGGAUAUAAGGACGACCGAUAAUAUUAUCACCGCAAGACGAACGAAGAAUUGUGUGUCUUAUCACAUCUGAUAAUGUUUCAUCUAUCAGUAUAGCUGCAAAAUUAUUGAAACAACAGGAAUACGGAUAAACAAAUGGACAGCUUGAAGAAUUUUUAUAAUGAAAAAGCUGAUUUUAAAACUAUUGAAAGAAAGAAGAAGUCAAUGUUGUCGAAGAAAAAUAUCAAACUUCAUUUGUCAUUUGCCAAAAAAUAUCAAAAUUGGACAAUUGCUGAUUGGGAACGUGUAAUUUGAUCGCACGAAACAAAAGUUAACAGAAUUUUCUCCGACAGAAUCUCGUGGUACUAAAUUCGCAGAGGCGAAUCUCUCAAACCACGAUAUGUGAAGCAAACGGCAAAAUAUGAAGGUGGUUCCAUUAUAUUCUGAGAGAGCUUUAUAGCUUUUGGCGUUGAUUCACAUUACAUCGAAUUAGUGGUAUUAUGAACCAAUACACAUACAAAGAUAGUUUGCAGCAGUGCCGUUUACAUACUGUUGAGAAUAUGCCAAUUGCUGAAUAAUGUGUAAUAUUCCAACAUGAUCGAGAUUCGAAGCAUACAACCACAAGCGUACAAGAGUGGCUUAAAGACGCAAAAAUUUUUGGCGUCGGAAUGUUCCGCUCCAAGCCCCAAUCUCAACCCAAUUGAGAAUCUAUGGUGAUUAUUGAAGAGGCGUCUGCGAAUACGAUGUACCGUCGACGUCAAUUACAAAAUUAGAAAACAGAAUUUAGAAACACUGGAAAAAAUAUCUUCAGAAUAUCAUGAAACAAUAGAGCAUUCUAAGACAAAUUAAUUAAUAUAUUAAUGUUGUUCUAAAAGCGAAAGGAGUAUGGGCAGGAUAUCGAGAAUGUAUUUAUUCUGAAAUCAUCAUUAAAAAGUUCCGCCUGGGCAGGCGACCUAAACGGACGUGCGAAACAGUGCUCCAGUGAAAGUGCGGCAAGAGGGAAGAGAAAGGGACAAAGUAAACGACCAUCUACAAAACGUGGAAUCAUGCAGAUUCCACCAAUAAAAAUAGUUAAUUCAGGUGAAACAUAUUUCA